rnacentral:rRNA from 1 species
UAGGGAAUUUUCGUCAAUGGGGGGAACCCUGAACGAGCAAUGCCGCGUGUGUGAAGAAGGUCUUCGGAUCGUAAAGCACUGUUGUAAGUGAAGAAUGCCACAUAGAGGAAAUGCUAUGUGGGUGACGGUAGCUUACCAGAAAGCCACGGCUAACUACGUGCCAGCAGCCGCGGUAAUACGUAGGUGGCAAGCGUUAUCCGGAAUCAUUGGGCGUAAAGGGUGCGUAGGUGCACGAUAAGUCUGAAGUAAAAGGCAACAGCUCAACUGUUGUAUGCUUUGGAAACUGUCGAGCUAGAGUGCAGAAGAGGGCGAUGGAAUUCCAUGUGUAGCGGUAAAAUGCGUAGAUAUAUGGAGGAACACCAGUGGCGAAGGCGGUCGCCUGGUCUGUAACUGACACUGAUGCACGAAAGCGUGGGGAGCAAAUAGGAUUAGAUACC